AUUGAACGCUGGCGGCAUGCUUUACACAUGCAAGUCGAACGGCAGCGCGGGCUUCGGCCUGGCGGCGAGUGGCGAACGGGUGAGUAAUGCAUCGGAACGUGCCCAGUUGUGGGGGAUAGCCCGUCGAAAGCCGGAUUAAUACCGCAUACGACCUGAGGGUGAAAGCGGGGGACCGAAAGGCCUCGCGCUAUUGGAGCGGCCGAUGUCGGAGUGGCUAGUUGGUGGGGUAAAGGCUUACCAAGGCGAGGAUCCGUAGCUGGUCUGAGAGGACGAGCAGCCACACUGGGACUGAGACACGGCCCAGACUCCUACGGGAGGCACCAGUGGGGAAUUUUGGACAAUGGGGGCAACCCUGAUCCAGCCAUGCCGCGUGCGGGAAGAAGGCCUUCGGGUUGUAAACCGCUUUUGUUCGGGAAGAAAUCCUCUGGGCUAAUACCCCGGGGGGAUGACGGUACCGGAAGAAUAAGCACCGGCUAACUACGUG
rnacentral:rRNA from 1 species